rnacentral:rRNA from 1 species
UACGUAGGGUGCAAGCGUUAUCGGAAUUACUGGGCGUAAAGCGUGCGCAGGCGGUGAUGUAAGACAGUUGUGAAAUCCCCGGGCUCAACCUGGGAACUGCAUCUGUGACUGCAUCGCUGGAGUGCGGCAGAGGGGGAUGGAAUUCCGCGUGUAGCAGUGAAAUGCGUAGAUAUGCGGAGGAACACCGAUGGCGAAGGCAAUCCCCUGGGCCUGCACUGACGCUCAUGCACGAAAGCGUGGGGAGCAAACAGG